rnacentral:misc_RNA from 1 species
AACGCACCUUGCGCUCUAUGGUAUUCCGUAGAGCAUGCCUGUUUGAGUGUCAUGAAUACUCUCAAGUGAAUCAUUGUAUUCACUUGGAUUUGGAGGUCUUGCUGGCGUCUUUGUCGGCUCCUCUUAAAUGUAUUAGCUUGGGUCUUGUUGGAUCCUUGGUGUGAUAAUUAUCUACGCCUUGAAGUCCCAAUUCAAGCUUCUUUCAAUAAAAACUCUUGACAUCUGACCUCAAAUCAGGUAGGAUUACCCGCUGAACUUAA